rnacentral:rRNA from 1 species
CAACCUGCCCUGAAGCGGGGGACAACACACCGAAAGGUGUGCUAAUACCGCAUGUGGAUUGCUGUGGCAUCACAGAUUAUCCAAAGCCGCAAGGCACUUCAGGAUGGGCCCGCGGCCUAUCAGCUAGUUGGUGAGGUAACGGCCCACCAAGGCUUCGACGGGUAGCUGGUCUGAGAGGACGAUCAGCCGGAUUGGGACUGAGAUACGGCCCAG